ensembl:lncRNA
AGUCAACGUCAAAGAAAGGAAUGAUGAGGAAGUAGCAGUGGGACUAGGUGGGCAAGCUGUGUGAGCUGAGAAGUCUUGGCAGGAAGGAGCCUGUGGAAGAAAUGACUCCCACUCUGCUAGAAAACUCACGUGGGAGCCAGCAUUGGAGCCAAAAGGGGGGGACUGUUACAGGUUUAAGAGAAGUAGAAAUAGGUCUUUCAAUUUUGCUUGAUGAGAUCGCUGUCCUUUAAAGUACCCUGGGAUGAGGGGGACCUGUUUUGUAUCUGACUCUAGAGGUGUCUGAAAAGCUCCUCUCUGGGUGCUAGGGAACGCUGAAGCCAAAGGAAUAGAGUUCACUGGCUGAGGAAAAAUCAGUGACAACUGUUGGUCUGGCAAUAAAUCCCACUCAGCUUGGGCCUUGCACAAUGUAGUCUCCUCAACAAACCCAGGGUACCGCGCAGACACACAUCCUUGUGUUUCACCAGUAAGGGCACGUGAAUAAAUCUACCUAGAGAGAAAACUGAACAUCCAGACUGGUCUUCCGUAACAGCUGCGAAAGAAGAAACAGUUCUAAACUAACUUCUUCAAGAGCAUACAAGGCUUUCCUUUUGCUUCAGAGAAAAGGCUUUUGUCUGGCAGAUGGUGGUUCUUGCACUGAACUGCAACAGCAAUUGCUGAGGUUGAAGCCCUGCAUCUCUCUCAUAUACUUCCAGAACACCUGGCAGGUGAGAAGUUAGCUACUUCACGUCAGAGUACAUCAGAAAGCACUCCUUCUGGUCAUUUGACUUCACCUGUAAAUCUACUGCUAGCAAUAACAUAGGAAGAUAACUGCCAUUGGUAAGUGCUUCUUAAAACAAAACCUUCAGGUCAAUCAUUUCCUAACAGGGAAUUGAACAGAAUCUUUUUUCCUAGUGCCAGUAUAGGGAGAAUUCAUGCCAUACUACUGAUAAAUCUGUCAUUUCUCUAUGAAGCGCUCCUGGCUGAAGUGGUUGAAACAUGGUUCAUUAGAAUAUAGAAUAUAUAUUUUAAUACCACUUCUUUUAUACAUUCACAUUUUCUAGCUUCUGAAUAACCAAGUACAGUAAUUAACGUCCCAAUUAACUGAAUGCCAACUGCUGGCUGGGCUUCUUGUGUUGACAUCACAACACAAAUCCUCUUCUAGGUGUCAUUGUCGUCUUGACUGUACUGCUAAGAAUUGGGUUGGCCUGUGGCCAAACACUUGUUCAUUAAAAGAAAUUCUUAGACAUUCAUUUGCAGGGGCAGAAAUUAAACCAGAAUACAUAAUAAGAGAAGAUCGUAAAGCUGAGCCAACAGAUCAGCAGUGCUCAGUUUUGUCCUUAUUUAGAGAUAUUGAUGUUUUAAAAUGUGAGGAUGAUUGAGAAAAAAAAGCCUUAGUGUAGUGACACCCUGGUAACAUCCACAUUGUAUGUGUCAAAGAUGCUGUGGAAAAGACAGGUAACUUCAUAAAGAUUAAAGUUUGUAAAGAUUGAGCCUAGUAAAAAGAAGCAUUAUGACCAUUAUGAUUAUGCAUUAUGAAAGCAUUAUGAAAGCCUGGCUGAAUCUCCUUUCAGCUGGUGUCCCAGGAUUAUAAAGCCAUUCAGCCUCUUAGAUUUUGGAAAGAAGGGUUCCUCUUCAGAGAGCAAUCAGCAAAUGCUGUGCUCCAUUUUAAGACUGCUUCCAGGUAUCCAGAGGUACUCAGUUUUGAGUUGGCAAACCUGAUCCAAGAGUCUGUUUUUCCUAUGGAUGAGAAUAAUCCAUAAUCUUUUGUUACAGUAUUAUAGUAUAUUAUCAGAUAAUGGUAUUUAAGUUUGAAAAGAAUGCUACAAUAAAGUGGCUGUGAAAGUGUUUAGUGCUCCUUCUCUGUUCUGAAGAAUAGUCCCUGGUCUCAUCUGUUAAAAUAAAUC